rnacentral:sRNA from 1 species
GGACAUCUUCAUCACCAGCGUGGACGCCGCCACGACCUUCGAGGAGCUCUGCGAGGAAGUGAGAGACAUGUGUCGUCUGCACCAGCAGCACCCGCUCACCCUCAAGUGGGUGGACAGUGAAGGUGACCCUUGCACGGUAUCCUCCCAGAUGGAGCUGGAAGAGGCUUUCCGCCUGGCCCGUCAGUGCAGGGACGAAGGCCUCAUCAUUCAUGUUUUCCCGAGCACCCCCGAGCAGCCUGGCCUGCCGUGUCCGGGAGAAGACAGGAGGGUCAAGUGGAGGAGGGUGGCCCCACCGAGUGUGUUCCAGGCCCCAGCGGCGUCUGAGAGGAGGUGGCCAAGCCUAGUGGGGCUGCACGGCCGCCUGUGGAACAGUGGGGACGCUGCUGGUGUCCUCCAGGCCUAGGUGGGCGGGUUACCACGGAAGCCUAUCAACGGAUGCCUGUGAUUCCCUGGUAUUUAUAGGUGUGUCUGUUGUUUUAUUAAAAAAUCCAGUUUCAUUC